UUCAGAGUACAACAGUACACUAUCUCAGAAAACACCAUGUUAUAACAGAACUUCCCAUCAAAAACAGCACAAUGAUUUUAACAGAACUCCCCAUUCAUUAAUAACGACAUCACUUUUUGCCAGCACUAUUUUGAGACAUCACACAAAGGCUCAAUAUCUUCAUAUUUCUUUAUCUGGAGGUUUUAUAUUUUUCUUGAUAAAUAUACAGUUUUACCUGGCUUUAAACGAGAGGAGAAUAGUAUAAAAGACCCUAGUUAAAUUUGGCAUUGCAGAAGAAAGAUGUGUGCAGCAGAGUAUGGCGUUUUGAAUUUACAAGAAUCUCCCAGAUUUGGUUCUCGAAAUCUCGAAAACUCUUACGAGAAAUUGCAACAGAUUGGCCAAGGCACUUAUGGUCUAGUGUACGUAGCUAAAGAUUGUGCAACAGGAGAAAUUGUCGCCUUGAAGAAACUCAUCAUGAAUAAAGGGUUACCAGGGUUUCCCGUUAGUGCAAUUCGUGAAAUUAAGAUACUGAUGAAGCUGCAACAUGAAAACGUAACCAGGUUGAAAGAGAUUGUGACAUCUGCAGAAGGUGAUAAUAAGUAUAAAGGAGAUAUUUACAUGGUUUUUGAGUACAUGGAUCAUGACCUAGCAGGGCUUGUUCUUCGUUCUGGAUCAAGAUUUACAGUUCCUCAAAUUAAGUGUUAUAUGAAGCAACUACUGGCAGGGCUUCAUUACUGUCAUGUCAAUCGAAUUCUUCACCGGGAUAUUAAGAGUUCGAAUCUUCUCCUUGAUAACCAGGGUAACUUAAAGCUUGCAGAUUUUGGUCUAUCUAGGUCAUUUUCUUAUAAUCACAGUGUAGAUCUCACAAAUCAAGUAAUUACACUGUGGUACAGACCUUCAGAGUUACUUCUUGGCGUUACCAAGUACGGUCCAGCUGUUGACAUGUGGUCAGUCGGUUGUAUCUUUGCCGAGCUUUUGCAAGGGAAAAUAGUUUUACCCGGAAGAGCUGAGGUCUUCUUGUCUAUACUUAUUCUUUUUCCACCCGACCAGUUGAAAAAGAUAUUUAAGCUUUGUGGAACUCCUGAUGAGAUUAACUGGCCUGGAGUGUCUACAACUCCCUGGUAUAACAAGCUCAUGCCGGAAAGGCAUAUGAAGAGAGUUGAUAGUUAUGCUAUUGAUUUACUGGAGAAAAUGCUUACUCUGGAUCCAGCACAGAGAAUAUCUGCUGAAGAUGCGCUUGAUGCAGAAUAUUUCUGGACUGAUCCCUUGCCUUGCAAUCCCAAGAGAGCAGGCCACUUAUAAGCUGGAGAGGCAGUCAAGGAAAAGAGAUGGAGGGUCAAUAUAUGUAUAUAGAGCCUACCCAAGUACGAGUCUUCACAUGAGUUCCAUAUGAAAAAAAGACAGCGGCAGAGUUAGUGUAAGGUUGCACUUUCAAAAAGACUGAUUUGGAGUACUUGGAAGAAGGAACUACCAGUUAUCGUUUCUUGUGUUAGUUCUCCAAAUUGUAAUAUACACACACGAUAAUAGACACGUGCAGAGCUCUAAUAAAUGAAUAGUUGGAGUUUGUAUCCAAAUCCAAGUAUUGAAGUUGACAGAUAGAAUACGUAAGCACUACACUCCACGGUUAUGUUUACAUCUACCAGAUUAUGUAAUUACUUUGGAUCAGAAAAUUAGAGCAACAAAAUAAGAACACUCUUUCUUGCCUUGA